rnacentral:rRNA from 1 species
GAUGAACGCUGGCGGCGUGCCUAAUACAUGCAAGUCGAGCGAACGGACGAGAAGCUUGCUUCUCUGAUGUUAGCGGCGGACGGGUGAGUAACACGUGGAUAACCUACCUAUAAGACUGGGAUAACUUCGGGAAACCGGAGCUAAUACCGGAUAAUAUUUUGAACCGCAUGGUUCAAAAGUGAAAGACGGUCUUGCUGUCACUUAUAGAUGGAUCCGCGCUGCAUUAGCUAGUUGGUAAGGUAACGGCUUACCAAGGCAACGAUGCAUAGCCGACCUGAGAGGGUGAUCGGCCACACUGGAACUGAGACACGGUCCAGACUCCUACGGGAGGCAGCAGUAGGGAAUCUUCCGCAAUGGGCGAAAGCCUGACGGAGCAACGCCGCGUGAGUGAUGAAGGUCUUCGGAUCGUAAAACUCUGUUAUUAGGGAAGAACAUAUGUGUAAGUAACUGUGCACAUCUUGACGGUACCUAAUCAGAAAGCCACGGCUAACUACGUGCCAGCAGCCGCGGUAAUACGUAGGUGGCAAGCGUUAUCCGGAAUUAUUGGGCGUAAAGCGCGCGUAGGCGGUUUUUUAAGUCUGAUGUGAAAGCCCACGGCUCAACCGUGGAGGGUCAUUGGAAACUGGAAAACUUGAGUGCAGAAGAGGAAAGUGGAAUUCCAUGUGUAGCGGUGAAAUGCGCAGAGAUAUGGAGGAACACCAGUGGCGAAGGCGACUUUCUGGUCUGUAACUGACGCUGAUGUGCGAAAGCGUGGGGAUCAAACAGGAUUAGAUACCCUGGUAGUCCACGCCGUAAACGAUGAGUGCUAAGUGUUAGGGGGUUUCCGCCCCUUAGUGCUGCAGCUAACGCAUUAAGCACUCCGCCUGGGGAGUACGACCGCAAGGUUGAAACUCAAAGGAAUUGACGGGGACCCGCACAAGCGGUGGAGCAUGUGGUUUAAUUCGAAGCAACGCGAAGAACCUUACCAAAUCUUGACAUCCUUUGACAACUCUAGAGAUAGAGCUUUCCCCUUCGGGGGACAAAGUGACAGGUGGUGCAUGGUUGUCGUCAGCUCGUGUCGUGAGAUGUUGGGUUAAGUCCCGCAACGAGCGCAACCCUUAAGCUUAGUUGCCAUCAUUAAGUUGGGCACUCUAAGUUGACUGCCGGUGACAAACCGGAGGAAGGUGGGGAUGACGCCAAAUCAUCAUGCCCCUUAUGAUUUGGGCUACACACGUGCUACAAUGGACAAUACAAAGGGCAGCGAAACCGUGAGGUCAAGCAAAUCCCAUAAAGUUGUUCUCAGUUCGGAUUGUAGUCUGCAACUCGACUACAUGAAGCUGGAAUCGCUAGUAAUCGUAGAUCAGCAUGCUACGGUGAAUACGUUCCCGGGUCU